rnacentral:rRNA from 1 species
CACGGAGAAUGCGAGCGUUAUCCGGAUUUAUUGGGUUUAAAGGGUGCGUAGGCGGCUUAGUAAGUCAGCGGUGAAAUUUUGCAGCUUAACUGUAACAGUGCCGUUGAUACUGCCAGGCUAGGAUUUGGUUGCUGUGGGUGGAAUGUGUGGUGUAGCGGUGAAAUGCUUAGAUAUCACACAGAAUAUCGAUUGCGAAGGCAGCUUACUAAUCCAUCAUUGACGCUGAGGCACGAAAGCGUGGGGAUCAAACA